UCCGGCCACUUAGUCAAAUACAAUUUUCAUAUCAAAUUCAAAUUCAUUUUUUUUUUAGUCAGUCAAAUGGUUACCAGCCAAAUUUAAAAAAAGUUAAAACAAAACUCAAGUGCUGCGCUCUGCUCUCAAUAAUGUAGUUUUAUACCAUCAAUCAGUACAUGUGUAUUUUAAAUAUAUCAGCUGUUUAUGUAUAUAUGUAAAUAAUAUUAUUGUUUUGUUGAAUAAAAUCAUAUUUAUUAAAAACAGUAACAAUUGAUAAUGGAACAAUCAAAAUCGGAACGUUUUUUGCGCAACAGAAAAAAGAAUUGGAAAGAAAAACAUCUACUGGAUGACUAGAUUUCCGAAAUAUUUCGGAUAUAGAUUGAGUAAAUUCAAUGUUAUAAUCGAAUGGAACUGAGUAAAAUAAUGUUAAUUUAGUUUGGGAUGAAUAUUUAAAUUAAAAAUUAAUAGUUACCUCUGAAAUUCCUAAAUCUCUUUUAGUCAUCAUUGUAUAUAUCAUCCAAAAUGGUAAUUGAAAAACACCAAAUCCCAGUAGCGUCCAACCAACGGCUAUCAAAAAUAACAAUGACAAUUUUUAAAUAUAUUUAUAACAACUUGAUGAUCAAAAUGAUAUAAAAUAAUCUAUAUAUACCAUAAGC